AUCCACCUGCAGUUAAGUAAUGGAGAAGAACAAGGAUGAGGUUGACAUUGUACAACAGGAGCUGCCUGAAGAGUGUUUGAACUACACCUGUUCCAUAAUGCCGCAUGGUGUCCAAAGUGAUGGAAUCGCUUCCAUUGAGGGCUGCCGUGAAGAUAGAGAGCUGCUUUAUCUGCCAAGAGAGGUUGCAGAGGACAAGUCAGACUCAAACAGUGGGUGUAGCAGCUUCAGAUUUUGCUGCCCAGUUCCGUGUGAUCAAAAUCCCCCAAUGUCCCACUGUCCACCUGCUACUUAUCAAGAUAUCCUGCCCACUCCAUAUCAUUACAUGACUCCCACUUCAGGGCUCAAUUCUGGAAAUUGCUCAUGGACAUCUGAAGGGGCAUUGCAUUAUGGAAUGCUGUCAGUAAGUGCAAAUGUUACAUCACAUACUUGAGCCCACUUAACCGUUUGUCUUUUUACUUUUGUACGCUUAACCAUAAAUUAGUUAAUAGGCUUACCAUUUCUCAAAUAGAGAAUAAGAAACCUUCUGUCAUUCCAUCCCAGAGAGAAAUCUGUGAUGCUGUGGCCAGCAUUAGCUCAGAUGCCACAGAGGAGCAGUCAAAAGAAGCUUUCAUUAAACAAGAGGCGACUUUAGAAUUGAGAGACAAGCCGGACAUCUAUCAGCAUGGCAACCAUCCAAUUGUUUUUCUCUCACCUCAUGACCCGCCAGUGGAGAACAGUCUUGCUGUUCAGACACCCAACGUCUGUCAGGUCAGACCCUAUGGGAGUUGUGAGACUAUUUUUCUUGUUUUUUUUUUGUAAAGUAUUCAGGGUUUUGACAGCUAUCUCCACUGCAGGUUCUGCGUGAUGCAAAUGGCAGGCCGCAGGUGGUGGUUAUGAAUCACUGCAAUCCACUACAAAUGAUUCACUCGAUGCCCUCAGGGGGUCAUAGUUCCACCAGCCCAGAGCCACAGUUUUACAACGCACCACGAGGCAACACCCCUGAAUUAUGCCCCCCAUGUGGAAAUGUUGAGGACAUUGGUCAUUUUGAUUACAUCAGUUCAUAUCCAGGGGACCAGAGGAUUCCUUCCUCCUUACCAGGGCCGUGCACUGUACCCUCUCAACAGUAUAUGCCCUCCGGCCACCAGGUCCUACCCUCCAGUCCAUACGGUCCCGCUGUUCCUGUAGGCCCUGGUUUCAGCUACAACAUCAUGCCUGGGCCCUACAUUUCACAGUUCCAUCAGAGCCCAUACCCUUUGUACCCGGACACGCUAGGAUUAUAUGCUGAAAGCCAGCCAAAGAUGAUCCAAAGACAGUUGAGUGGAGCACACUGGGAAUCCAAAUCCCAGAGGAAGCCUUGCAACUGCACAAAGUCUCAGUGUCUUAAGCUGUACGUUAUCUCCUCUAUGUUUUCGUAUUGA
rnacentral:lncRNA from 1 species